GACGAACGCUGGCGGCGUGCUUAACACAUGCAAGUCGAACGGGAAGGCCCUGCUUUUGUGGGGUGCUCGAGUGGCGACUGGGUGAGUAACCCGUGAGUAACGUGCACUUGCCUUUGGGAUGACUUCAGGCAACUGGGGCUAAUCCCGGCUAGGGUCUCCUGCUGCAUGGUGGGGGUUGGAAAGUUUCGGCGGUUGGGGAUGGACUCGCGGCUUAUCAGCUUGUUGGUGGGGUAGUGUCUUACCAAGGCUUUGACGGGUAGCCGGCCUGAGAGGGUGACCGGACAAACUGGGACUGAGAUACGGCACAGACUACAACGGGAGGCAGCAGUGGGGAAUAUUGCACAAUGGGAGGAAGCAUGAUGUAGCAACGCCGCGUGGGGGAUGACGGCCUUCGGGUUGUAAACCGCAUUCGCUUGUGACGAAGCGUGAGUGACGGUAAUGGGUAAAGAAGCACCGGCUAACUACGUG
rnacentral:rRNA from 1 species